UAGCCCAAGUCUUUCUUUCCCUUCCAAACCAUCGGCUACUUCAAUAAGGAAGAAAAUCUCUUUUCUCUUCUUCCUCCAAAGCCAACGCCACUUCCCUCUUUUCUUUUCCUCUUCAAGAAAUCAAAUUCCUCUCAAACUGUUGAAAGAAUAUAGGAGUUUAAGGACUUAUAUUGACGAUUGAAAGUAUCGAGGAGCAUCGAGGUAAUGACGGAAAGGUUGGGGAGCAGGGCAUUACUGCAGGGGGAGAGACAAAACGUCUUCCCUAUUGGUUCAACCUUACAUGAAUGGCGGGUUAUGUUUAUGGAUGUUAUUUUUUAGGUUGGAAUGAGUCCCUUGUCGGGACGUUUUGUCGGGUUUGACUUUAAACCAUUCUUUUGGUAUGGUAUAACCGUUACGGUGGGGUGAUAGUAAACCCUCCUAUAUUGAUUGAAUGCCUUUUUGUAUGUAAGCUAGAGAUUGAGUUCCUUCCUAACUAGAACAGUCAUGUUUUAUGAAUAUAUGAUAGACUCUGGGAGUCUGUUUAUGGAGGAAUGUUAAAUAGAAUA